GGUUAAGCUACUAAGGGCGCACGGUGGAUGCCUUGGCACUAGAAGCCUAAGAAGGACGGGACGAACACCGAUAUGCUUCGGGGAGCUGUAAGUACGCUUUGAUCCGGAGAUUUCCGAAUGGGGGAACCCACCAUCUUUAAUAGGAUGGUAUCCAUUUCUGAAUACAUAGGGAAUGGAAGGCAGACCCGGGGAACUGAAACAUCUCAUUACCCGGAGGAAGAGAAAGCAAACGCGAUUUCCUGAGUAGCGGCGAGCGAAACGGAAUCAGCCCAAACCAGAGGGCUUGCCCUCUGGGGUUGUAGGACGUCUCUUUGGAGUUACAAAGGCACGGAUAGACGAAGCGACCUGGAAAGGUCCAUCAGAGAAGGUAACAAUCCUGUAGUCAAAAUCCGAUGCCCUCCGAGACGGAUCCUGAGUACGGCGGGACACGUGAAACCCCGUCGGAAUCCGGGAGGACCAUCUCCCAAGGCUAAAUACUCUCUAGUGACCGAUAGUGAACCAGUACCGUGAGGGAAAGGUGAAAAGCACCCCGGAAGGGGAGUGAAAAAGAACCUGAAACCGUGUGCCUACAACUAGUUGGAGCCCGUUAAUGGGUGACAGCGUGCCUUUUGUAGAAUGAACCGGCGAGUUACGAUCCCGUGCAAGGUUAAGCUGAGAAGGCGGAGCCGCAGCGAAAGCGAGUCUGAAUAGGGCGAAAUAGUACGUGGUCGUAGACCCGAAACCAGGUGAUCUACCCAUGUCCAGGGUGAAGUUCAGGUAACACUGAAUGGAGGCCCGAACCCACGCAUGUUGAAAAAUGCGGGGAUGAGGUGUGGGUAGCGGUGAAAUGCCAAUCGAACCUGGAGAUAGCUGGUUCUCUCCGAAAUAGCUUUAGGGCUAGCCUCGCGGCAAGAAUCUUGGAGGUAGAGCACUGAUUGGACUAGGGGUCCUUACCGGAUUACCGAAUCCAGUCAAACUCCGAAUGCCAACGAUUUAUCCGCGGGAGUCAGACUGCGAGUGAUAAGAUCCGUAGUCGAGAGGGAAACAGCCCAGACCACCAGCUAAGGUCCCAAAGUAUACGUUAAGUGGAAAAGGAUGUGGCGUUGCUUAGACAACCAGGAUGUUGGCUUAGAAGCAGCCAUCAUUUAAAGAGUGCGUAAUAGCUCACUGGUCGAGUGACGCUGCGCCGAAAAUGUACCGGGGCUAAACGUAUCACCGAAGCUGUGGAUUGUCUUACGACAAUGGUAGGAGAGCGUUCUAAGGGCUGUGAAGUCAGACCGAAAGGACUGGUGGAGCGCUUAGAAGUGAGAAUGCCGGUAUGAGUAGCGAAAGACAAGUGAGAAUCUUGUCCGUCGAAAGCCCAAGGUUUCCUGAGGAAGGCUCGUCCGCUCAGGGUUAGUCGGGACCUAAGCCGAGGCCGAAAGGCGUAGGCGAUGGAUAACAGGUUGAUAUUCCUGUACCACCUCCUUUCCGUUUGAACGACGGGGGGACGCAGAAAGAUAGGGAGAGCGCGCUGCUGGAAAUGCGCGUCCAAGCGAUUAGGCUGGUGAAUAGGCAAAUCCGUUCACCGU
rnacentral:rRNA from 1 species